UAGUAUUACAGCUCUUUUAGAAUUUGUCUAGCAGGUUUUCUGUUUCUUUUCCGGAAAACCCAC
rnacentral:snRNA from 1 species